rnacentral:lncRNA from 1 species
GCAUGCGCGGCGGGGCCGCGCUGGCCGGCCUCGGGGCCGGGUCUCUGGCGAUUCAGGCCUUUUGCUAAGCGUCGUGACGUGCACGUGACCCCAUUGGACCAGCCUUUCCUGCAUGAAUUCUUGACAGCUUUCAAGAUCCAGAUGGGAAGAGGGCAGUGCUAUAGGAGGGGAGACCACUGGUGACAUGCCAGGCGGAUCCAAAACCAAGCAGAAGCGCUCAGAAGCACCCUUGUCAGAACACUGGGAGAGAGAGACGUUGACAGCCACCAACCGAAUGCUGAACGAAGGCGGAGGAAACUGGAAAAUGAAUGCUAUGGUGAAUGCCACCGAGUCCAUGGGGACAGUAAUGAGAAAAUGAAGAUGGAUGCUUCUUGGAGCUCAGCUAACGGUGGAGGAAGAACUUUGGACAGACUUCUACGCUUCCCACCCUCUGACACCUGUAGAAAAUCGUCAUUCUAGUCCAGAGAUAUUUUAAAGUACAGAGGACACGAGUGCACAUAAGACGUGAUCCCUCCCCUCGAGCUGCUCACCUCUAGAAGACAGAUGAAAGAGGACAAAGUUAUCGGUUUUCCCCUGGACUCCUGCAAACUCCACCUGGAAGAAGAAUCUGUUCUCCAUCUCCGAGGCAGUGGUUCUCACACAUGCUCAUUACAAGAGUCCCUCAAAGGGGCAGAGUCCCAGCUGGAAUCAGGAAAUGUGAUCACAGAAGCCAGGUCAGAGUGAUGUGCCUGUUGGCUUCAAAGACGGAGGAAAGGGGCCAUGAGCCAAAGGAUGUGAGCAGCCUCUAGAAGCUGGACAAGGCAAAGAUUCUCUGCCAGAGACUCUGAAAGGAACAGAGCUCCGCCGACAUCUGCGUUAGCCCAGUGAGACCCUUUUUGGACAUCUGGACUAGAGAAUGCAUUCCAUUGGCACGGCGUUUAGAACCUGAGUCUCUGCAAACAUGAUUAAAGGAAAGGAGUUACUAGUUUUUCCUCUCUUCUGGCUGUUAUCUGGGAAGCUCUGAACUCAGAGGAGUUGCCGAGUGGGGGUGUCUUGCAUGAAAGAAGAUGGGAAGGAAAGAACUCCCCAUUUCACCUUCCUAAGCAGUGGAGGAAGGGGAUCAGAAACAGCAAGUGCUGAUGAAAACUCCACUUCCAAAUACAUUCCAUGGCUUAUUUGUGGAGGGAAAUGCUUUUUACCUUUUGAACUUUCAGAUACCUGGCAAAAGCAAAUGGCAGCCCAAACUAAGACAAGAGGGAAUGAUGAUGCAACCAGGGUCCAAAUGGCACAUGCUGCAGACCUGCUGGUUGGCCUCCAGUCCCAGGUUCUCUUGGUUUCCCCACGACUCUGCUGUCUACUGACUUCCUCUCAUAACAAACUUCUCAAGAAGGAUUGGCUCCGCCAUUUCCUUAACAGUAAAGAAGAGAUAUAUUCGGGGAUCAGGGGCCACCAGCCAAAAUAUACAUUGCUACCUUUGUAUCCGGUGCUUCUGUGGCCACAUCAUCUAAUCGCCGAUGAUCAGAACAGUGAACACAUGUGGUGAGAAGAAUUUCAGCAGAGGCGGAAGGCACCACCAGCAGCUUUCUGAAACGGAGCUAUGAGCACGAUGAAUUUAGAGACGAAAGGGACCUCCCUGCUUGGAGAAUUUUCCUAAGAAACAGUGGACUGUUCGCUCACGGGGCUCCAUGUGCUCUAAGUGUAGUUAUAGACCUCUUUCCUAUGUCAUGUCCCCUACUGGGAUGAAGUGUUAUUUUGACUUACUUGUCGAAUGCUGUGGCUUUAAGAGGGGUUGUGAUGUCAGUCCAUCCACUCUUACAGCUGAGUCAUCAGACAUUUACGGACCCAGUGAACCUACUUGGUCACAUCUGGGAGUAAACCUAGAAUCUGUGGAUUCCCUUUACAGUGGCUUUCCACUGUCCAGUCUCUCUACUGUAUGUGAUCUUAAGGUAGCAAUUCAAAUAAAGUGCAGUGUAGUUUUC